UUGUUUUAAAAUAGUUGUUGUCCCAGGUCUCUUGCCCUGCUGGUGGAACCUUGCUUCUCCUGUUAAGAGCACAAGGGAUGGCGCUGGGGAUUUAGCUCAGUGGUAGAGCGCUUGCCUAGUAAGCGCAAGGCCCUGGGUUCGGUUCUCAGCUCUGGAAAAAAAAAAGCACAAGGGACUUAAUGCCAGACCAGCGGCUGUGACCCUACCCCUGAGGCAUGAUCUGUCCUUAGAGGCAUGCUCUCUGAUGUGGAGAUGGACCUUGUGGCCAGUUGCAAGUCGGGCUUGUCUCCGUUAGUGAUGGGAAUGGCGCCUAAUUGGGGGCCAAUCUUCAUGAAUAAACUUUAGCAGAAAUUUCCUCAGCCACCAUAAAUGGUAUAAAUUUUCUUUCUCACAGUUUCUAAUGAGCCUGGUUAUGUGAGGUUCGAAUUGGACCUCUACUGGGACCCCUUGAAUGAGACUCACAGAAGCAGUGAUCAUUGCAAAAACAAGAGGAGUUUUAUUGUCCCAGUGCAUAAGGGCUGCCCUGCUUCAAGAAAGAAACUGCCCUGAGCAGACUCUAACAGGGAAUUAUAUACAUUUGAUAUGGGCGGAAUUGAAACAAUUAGGGCAGAAUUCAAACAAUAGUAACUGGGCAGGGUGCUAAUGGUGGAGUGAAGCGACCUUCAAACUGACUCGUGGUCAGUGGCUGGGUCAGGACUUUCCAAGGAGUGUCGCUUGGGAGUCACAGGUGGCUUGUAGCUGUUCCAGGAACUAAAUAAAACUACCUCUAUCCUUCCUGGAAGGGAGGGCUCUUUGUGCUUGGAUAUUUGUGGUGGAAUUUUCCUACUGGCCUUAGACUGACCCCAACUCUGGAUCUUUCAGUUAGUGUGCCACUUAUUUCUGCCAAAGUGCAGGUGGGGCUCCCUAGCCAAAUUCUGUUUUCUCUAACUUAUUUCCUAAGCAAGUUUAUCAGCAAAUCCUUUAGUAGCACCCAAUUUACCACUUCAAGUCUCUCUUCCAUCAUUACUGGGAAACUGUGAUCAGCCACACGGGAACACCCAAGACACCUCCCAGUCCCACUGAGCCCUCGGGGGGAGGGAGGGUCAUGCACCCUUUUAUAUCAGACUAAGGGGAUAACAUCAGAACAGCAAGGGACUUAUUUGGACAUUUUAAUAUAAUGCUGACACGGUUUUACAUGAGACAGCUACUGGCUUCCAUGGAGGAUCUAAAAGUUUCCAGGCCACCUGCCUCCAUCCCGGGCGAGCUAACCGGGAGAGCUUCAGAAAGAUCCAGGACCGUUAACCACCUCUAUUUGUUGUCAUUAUCACCUGUUAAUUUUAGCUUUAGUGUGAGCAAAAUGAACCAAGUUAUCAAUUGAGUUUACACGGACGUUUGCUAAGAAGCCAAUUUGGUACCGAUUACACAAUGUAAGAAAACCAAAAAUCCCAAAAUGCCAAGCCAUAGUUGCCUAACAGCCCUCACGCACGUAAUUAUAUGUAAGAUAUAUUGAAUAAACUCAGAUUUUUGAGCAUUACUGUUUUCUCAGAUUAUGUUUUUGAUAACCCUCAUUGUGAAGGAGGCUCUUAAAAGAAAACGUAUUGACAAGUGGGUCGGAAGCAGAAAACUUCUCUCAACAGAGAGUAAACUCAUUUGUAAAUGCUCUUGUGUUGCAUGGUAUUCAAGUUUCUUUUCUCUUUUCUCUCUCUUUUUUAAAAGAAUUAUUUAUUUUAGGUAUAUAAGUACACCGUGGCUGUCUUCAGACACACCAGAAGAGGGCACCAGAUCUCAUUACAGAUGGUUGUGAGCCACCAUGUGGUUGCUGGGAAUUGAACUCAGGACCUCUGGAAGAGCAGUCAGCGCUCUUAACCACUGAGCCAUCUCUCCAGCCCAGUAUUCAAGUUCCUUAAUGCUGAAAGGAUGUAGUGAUUAAAAUGGUCUAGUAUAGGAGGGUGUGGUCGUUUGAAUAUGCUUAGCUAAUAAGGAGCAGCACUGUUAGGAGGUGUGGCCUUGUUGAAGGAAGUGUGUCGGCAUGGGCGUGGCCCUGGAGGUCUCCUCCUACGCUCAGGCUCCACCCACUGCAGAAGAGUUAGUCUCCUUGUGGAUGCAAGAUGCAGAACUCGCAGCUUCUUCUCCAGCACCGUGCCUGCUGGGACACUGCCAAGCUUCUCACCAUGACGAUAAUGGACUGAACCUCUGCAACUGGAGGCUAGCCAUGGAGACCACACCCCAUGGAUUUCAGCCAGCACCCAGUCUACAAAGAGGAGGUCAGCACACUGAAAGUAUUUCCUCAGAGUUCAUAGGAGACGCAAUACCCAGGCCAAGCAGGCUUGACUUAUCCUCACCGACCGACAACUGGUAAAGGCUCCAGGAGCCUGAGAUUCUCACAAGACUAGUGACCCCCUGAGGACCGGAUGGCUCCUCCAUCAGGAACCAAACAAGUAUUAAUGGUGGCUACUCAGAUGAUGUUAAACACAGAGCAGGAAAGUCUGACCCACAUAGAAAUGGCCAGCGUGUGUCCUUGACGGGUCAAGGCCCCGAAGUCCUCCAAUAUUGUAAUUAACCCUAUGAAAGCCAUUUGGACAGAA